CCUACGGGAGGCAGCAGUAGGGAAUCUUCCACAAUGGGCGAAAGCCUGAUGGAGCAACGCCGCGUGGGUGAAGAAGGUCUUCGGAUCGUAAAACCCUGUUGUUAGAGAAGAAAGUGCGUGAGAGUAACUGUUCACGUGUCGACGGUAUCGAACCAGAAAGCCACGGCUAACUACGUGCCAGCAGCCGCGGUAAUACGUAGGUGGCAAGCGUUAUCCGGAUUUAUUGGGCGUAAAGGGAACGAAGGCGGUCUUUUAAGUCUGAGGGGAAAGCCUUCGGCUUAACCGGAGUAGUGCAUUGGAAACUUUGAGACUUGCGUGCAGAAGAGUGGAGUGGCCCUCCAUGUGUAGCGGU
rnacentral:rRNA from 1 species